rnacentral:rRNA from 1 species
GGGCCCGCACAAGCGGUGGAGCAUGUGGUUUAAUUCGAUGCAACGCGAAGAACCUUACCAGGGUUUGACAUGCUUGGAUUAACCCUAUGAAAGUAGGGCCACGCCUUCGGGUGGAACUUGCACAGGUGCUGCAUGGCUGUCGUCAGCUCGUGUCGUGAGACGUCGCGUUAAGUCGCUUAACGAGCGCAACCCUUGUCCUUAGUUGCCAGCACGUAAUGGUGGGGACUCUAAGGAGACCGCCGGUGUCAAACCGGAGGAAGGCGGGGACGACGUCAAGUCAUCAUGGCCUUUAUGUCCAGGGCUGCACACGUCAUACAAUGCAACAUACAAAGGGCAGCUAACCCGCGAGGGGGCGCUAAUCUCAAAAAGUGUUGCUCAGUUCGGAUUGCAGGCUGCAACUCGCCUGCAUGAAGCUGGAAUCGCUAGUAA